CGGACGGGUGAGUAACGCGUGGAUAACCUGCCUCACACUGGGGGAUAACAGUUAGAAAUGGCUGCUAAUACCGCAUAAGCGCACAGUACCGCAUGGUACGGUGUGAAAGACCCAGGUGGUGUGAGAUGGAUCCGCGUUUGAUUAGCCAGUUGGCGGGGUAACGGCCCACCAAAGCGACGAUCAGUAGCCGACCUGAGAGGGUGACCGGCCACAUUGGGACUGAGACACGGCCCAA
rnacentral:rRNA from 1 species